GACGAAGGUGGCGAGCGUUGUUCGGAAUCACUGGGCUUAAAGCGCAUGCAGGCGGCUUAUCAAGUGCUUUGUGAAAUCCCUCGGCUCAACCGAGGAAUUGCUUGGCAAACUGAUAGGCUUGAGGCAGGUAGGGGCAUGUGGAACUCUUGGUGGAGCGGUGGAAUGCGUAGAUAUCAAGAGGAACGCCGGAGGCGAAAGCGAUGUGCUGGGCCUGUCCUGACGCUGAGAUGCGAAAGCCAGGGGAG
rnacentral:rRNA from 1 species